rnacentral:lncRNA from 1 species
UCUCACCGGCGCAUAGGUAGGUGGAACCAAAGGUGGAGGAGCUUCCCACUGAGUCACGCGCCCCGCCGUGAAGAGAGCCACCAUAGAUCUUAAAAGGUAAAACUAGAUCUGGCGGUUCAUUUAGCCCUAAAAGCCGACCUCCCUCACGGGUACCGCUUCAAAUCCUCACCGCUCCUCCAAGACCGUCGAUUGCCACGUUACCUUUAACCGCUAAGGGGUCGCCAGUGAAGAAGCCGAUAGGUUCAGAGCAGAAAAUAUAUCGGUUCUGAAGUGAGGUAGAAGAAGAGGGAAGCAAAAGAAAAAAAAAAGAAACAGGGAAGGAGAGUUUACCUCCGGCAUCGGCAGGGCACCGAACCGGAGUGGAGGCGGCGCUGUUUUGAAAGAGAGUUUUUAGGUAACACCGCCAAAUUAGAACCAUAACAUAGCUUAUUCAAAUCUCAACAAUAUUAAUAAAAAAAAGCUAUUUCAGUUGCACAUACACAGUCUGUUAACCUCAUAUAACAUAAGUAUCAUAUAACAACAAACACACACCAUCUUUUAACCUCAUCUUAGUUGCGCAUAUUAGAAGUAUUAAAACUUAUUUCUCACCAAUCAGAAAGAUUGAAAUUUGUAUCCCUGAACGUUUGAUUUGGUUUUAAUGGUUUGAACGUAAAGUCAUACCAAAAUAGUAUGUUCUGAAUCAAAUUUAAUACCUAACCCAUCCUGAGAUCCAAAUACA